AAGUUCCCGCUGCGCUCCGCAGGCUUCAGGUUCCUUUUGCUGAAGCCGGGAGAGCCCGGCUUCAGCAAAAGGAACCCGAAGCCUGCGGAGCGCAGUGGGAACUU